AACGAACGUUGGCGGCGUGCCUAAUACAUGCAAGUCGCGCGAGAAAGCCGGGGCAACUCGGCGAGUACAGCGGCGGAAGGGUGCGUAAUACAUGGAUAACGUACCUCCCAGUCGGGGAUAACCCUCCGAAAGGUGGGCUAAUACCGGGAAUGACGGCAGAGGGUGGCAUCACUUUCUGCUCAAAGACGCAAGUCGCUGGGGGAGCGGUCCAUGGCCUAUCAGCUAGUUGGCGGGGUAACGGCCCACCAAGGCAAUGACGGGUAGCCGGACUGAGAGGUUGAACGGCCACACUGGGACUGAGACACGGCCCAGACACCUACGGGUGGCAGCAGUAGGGAAUCUUGCGCAAUGGGCGAAAGCCUGACGCAGCGACGCCGCGUGAGGGAUGAAGGCCUUCGGGUUGUAAACCUCUUUCAUGAGGGAAGAACACUGACCUAACCUCAGGAAGAAGCACCGGCUAACUCCGUGCCAGCAGCUGCGGUAAUACGGAGAGUGCAAACGUUGUUCGGUA
rnacentral:rRNA from 1 species